rnacentral:siRNA from 1 species
UCGAUUUUAGGAGCCUUUGUUG